rnacentral:rRNA from 1 species
GAUGAACGCUGGCGGCGUGCCUAAUACAUGCCAGUCGAGCGAACAGACGAGGAGCUUGCUCCUCUGACGUUAGCGGCGGACGGGUGAGUAACACGUGGAUAACCUACCUAUAAGACUGGGAUAACUUCGGGAAACCGGAGCUAAUACCGGAUAAUAUAUUGAACCGCAUGGUUCAAUAGUGAAAGACGGUUUUGCUGUCACUUAUAGAUGGAUCCGCGCCGCAUUAGCUAGUUGGUAAGGUAACGGCUUACCAAGGCAACGAUGCGUAGCCGACCUGAGAGGGUGAUCGGCCACACUGGAACUGAGACACGGUCCAGACUCCUACGGGAGGCAGCAGUAGGGAAUCAUCCGCAAUGGGCGAAAGCUUGACGGAGCAACGCCGCGUGAGUGAUGAAGGUCUUCGGAUCGUAAAACUCUGUUAUUAGGGAAGAACAAAUGUGUAAGUAACUAUGCACGUCUUGACGGUACCUAAUCAGAAAGCCACGGCUAACUACGUG